CUCAACCUCGGGCUUGCAGUGGGUACGGGCAGACUAGAGUGCGGUAGGGGAGAUUGGAAUUCCUGGUGUAGCGGUGGAAUGCGCAGAUAUCAGGAGGAACACCGAUGGCGAAGGCAGAUCUCUGGGCCGUAACUGACGCUGAGGAGCGAAAGGGUGGGGAGCAAACAGGCUUAGAUACCCUGGUAGUCCACCCCGUAAACGUUGGGAACUAGUUGUGGGGUCCUUUCCACGGAUUCCGUGACGCAGCUAACGCAUUAAGUUCCCCGCCUGGGGAGUACGGCCGCAAGGCUAAAACUCAAAGGAAUUGACGGGGACCCGCACAAGCGGCGGAGCAUGCGGAUUAAUUCGAUGCAACGCGAAGAACCUUACCAAGGCUUGACAUACACGAGAACGGGCCAGAAAUGGUCAACUCUUUGGACACUCGUGAACAGGUGGUGCAUGGUUGUCGUCAGCUCGUGUCGUGAGAUGUUGGGUUAAGUCCCGCAACGAGCGCAACCCUCGUUCUAUGUUGCCAGCACGUAAUGGUGGGAACUCAUGGGAUACUGCCGGGGUCAACUCGGAGGAAGGUGGGG
rnacentral:rRNA from 1 species